rnacentral:rRNA from 1 species
UGGGGAAUUUUGGACAAUGGGCGAAAGCCUGAUCCAGCAAUGCCGCGUGUGUGAAGAAGGCCUUCGGGUUGUAAAGCACUUUUGUCCGGAAAGAAAUCCUUGGCUCUAAUACAGUCGGGGGAUGACGGUACCGGAAGAAUAAGCACCGGCUAAUUACGUGCCAGCAGCCGCGGUAAUACGUAGGGUGCAAGCGUUAAUCGGAAUUACUGGGCGUAAAGCGUGCGCAGGCGGUUUGCUAAGACCGAUGUGAAAUCCCCGGGCUCAACCUGGGAACUGCAUUGGUGACUGGCAGGCUAGAGUAUGGCAGAGGGGGGUAGAAUUCCACGUGUAGCAGUGAAAUGCGUAGAGAUGUGGAGGAAUACCGAUGGCGAAGGCAGCCCCCUGGGCCAAUACUGACGCUCAUGCACGAAAGCGUGGGGAGCAAACAGGAUUAGAUACCCUGGUAGUCCACGCCCUAAACGAUGUCAACUAGUUGUUGGGGAUUCAUUUCCUUAGUAACGUAGCUAACGCGUGAAGUUGACCGCCUGGGGAGUACGGUCGCAAGAUUAAAACUUAAAUGAAUUGACGGGGUCAUAGCUG